rnacentral:rRNA from 1 species
CCUACGGGAGGCAGCAGUGGGGAAUAUUGGACAAUGGGCGCAAGCCUGAUCCAGCCAUGCCGCGUGAGUGAUGAAGGCCCUAGGGUUGUAAAGCUCUUUCACCGGAGAAGAUAAUGACGGUAUCCGGAGAAGAAGCCCCGGCUAACUUCGUGCCAGCAGCCGCGGUAAUACGAAGGGGGCUAGCGUUGUUCGGAAUUACUGGGCGUAAAGCGCACGUAGGCGGAUACUUAAGUCAGGGGUGAAAUCCCAGAGCUCAACUCUGGAACUGCCUUUGAUACUGGGUAUCUCGAGUAUGGAAGAGGUGAGUGGAAUUCCGAGUGUAGAGGUGAAAUUCGUAGAUAUUCGGAGGAACACCAGUGGCGAAGGCGGCUCACUGGUCCAUUACUGACGCUGAGGUGCGAAAGCGUGGGGAGCAAACAGGAUUAGAUACCCUAGUAGUCCACGCCGUAAACGAUGAAUGUUAGCCGUCGGGUAGCAUGCUAUUCGGUGGCGCAGCUACGACAUAAACUAACUUCCGUCCGUCGGGUAGGUACGGUCGCGAAGAAUUAAAACUAACAAAGAAAGUAGACGGCGUGAGACGUGCCGAACGGACGACGACGAGGGAGGUAGG